rnacentral:rRNA from 1 species
UGUUGCGAUCAUACCAGCACUAAUGCACCGGAUCCCAUCAGAACUCCGCAGUUAAGCGUGCUUGGGCGAGAGUAGUACUAGGAUGGGUGACCCCCUGGGAAGUCCUCGUGUUGCAACCC